rnacentral:tRNA from 2 species
CUGCCCGUAGCUCAACUGGAUAGAGCAACGGCCUUCUAAGCCGUAGGUCGGGGGUUCGAGUCCCUCCGGGCAGG